GUGAAAGACGGUCUUGCUGUCACUUAUAGAUGGAUCCGCGCUGCAUUAGCUAGUUGGUAAGGUAACGGCUUACCAAGGCAACGAUGCAUAGCCGACCUGAGAGGGUGAUCGGCCACACUGGAACUGAGACACGGUCCAGACUCCUACGGGAGGCAGCAGUAGGGAAUCUUCCGCAAUGGGCGAAAGCCUGACGGAGCAACGCCGCGUGAGUGAUGAAGGUCUUCGGAUCGUAAAACUCUGUUAUUAGGGAAGAACAUAUGUGUAAGUAACUGUGCACAUCUUGACGGUACCUAAUCAGAAAGCCACGGCUAACUACGUGCCAGCAGCCGCGGUAAUACGUAGGUGGCAAGCGUUAUCCGGAAUUAUUGGGCGUAAAGCGCGCGUAGGCGGUUUUUUAAGUCUGAUGUGAAAGCCCACGGCUCAACCGUGGAGGGUCAUUGGAAACUGGAAAACUUGAGUGCAGAAGAGGAAAGUGGAAUUCCAUGUGUAGCGGUGAAAUGCGCAGAGAUAUGGAGGAACACCAGUGGCGAAGGCGACUUUCUGGUCUGUAACUGACGCUGAUGUGCGAAAGCGUGGGGAUCAAACAGGAUUAGAUACCCUGGUAGUCCACGCCGUAAACGAUGAGUGCUAAGUGUUAGGGGGUUUCCGCCCCUUAGUGCUGCAGCUAACGCAUUAAGCACUCCGCCUGGGGAGUACGACCGCAAGGUUGAAACUCAAAGGAAUUGACGGGGACCCGCACAAGCGGUGGAGCAUGUGGUUUAAUUCGA
rnacentral:rRNA from 1 species